GGGGCCAUAGCUCAGCUGGGAGAGCGCCUGCUUUGCAAGCAGGAGGUCAUCGGUUCGAUCCCGAUUGGCUCCA
rnacentral:tRNA from 1 species